UCUGACUNGAGUGCAGAAGGGGAGAGUGGAAUUCCAUGUGUAGCGGUGAAAUGCGUAGAUAUAUGGAGGAACACCAGUGGCGAAAGCGGCUCUCUGGUCUGUCACUGACGCUGAGGCUCGAAAGCGUGGGUAGCGAACAGGAUUAGAUACCCUGGUAGUCCACGCCGUAAACGAUGAGUGCUAGGUGUUAGGCCCNUUCCGGGGCUUAGUGCCGGAGCUAACGCAAUAAGCACUCCGCCUGGGGAGUACGACCGCAAGGUUGAAACUCAAAGGAAUUGACGGGGGCCCGCACAAGCGGUGGAGCAUGUGGUUUAAUUCGAAGCAACGCGAAGAACCUUACCAGGUCUUGACAUCCCGAUGCUAUUCUUAGAGAUAGGAAGUUACUUCGGUACAUCGGAGACAGGUGGUGCAUGGUUGUCGUCAGCUCGUGUCGUGAGAUGUUGGGUUAAGUCCCGCAACGAGCGCAACCCUUAUUGUUAGUUGCCAUCAUUAAGUUGGGCACUCUAGCGAGACUGCCGGUAAUAAACCGGAGGAAGGUGGGGACGACGUCAAAUCAUCAUGCCCCUUAUGACCUGGGCUACACACGUGCUACAAUGGUCGGUACAACGAGUUGCGAGCCGGUGACGGCAAGCUAAUCUCUGAAAGCCGAUCUCAGUUCGGAUUGGAGGCUGCAACUCGCCUCCAUGAAGUCGGAAUCGCUAGUAAUCGCGGAUCAGCACGCCGCGGUGAAUACGUUCCCGGGCCUUGUACACACCGCCCGUCACACCACGAGAGUUUGUAACACCCGAAGUCGGUGAGGUAACCUUUUAGGGGCC
rnacentral:rRNA from 1 species